rnacentral:rRNA from 1 species
CCUACGGUGGGCUGCAGUGGGGAAUAUUGCGCAAUGGGCGCAAGCCUGACCCAGCAACGCCGCGUGAAGGAAGAAGGCUUUCGGGUUGUAACCUUCUUUUCUGAGGGACGAAGAAAGUGCCGGUACCUCAGGAAUAAGCCACGGCUAACUACGUGACAGCAGCCGCGGUAAUACGUAGGUUGCAAGCGUUAUCCGGCAUUAUUGGGUGUAAAGGGCGUGUAGGCGGGAAAGCAAGUCAGAUGUGAAAACUCAGGGCUCAACCCUGAGCCUGCUUUUGAAACUGUUUUUCUUGAGUGCUGGAGAGGCAAUCGGAAUUCCGUGUGUAGCGGUGAAAUGCGUAGAUAUACGGAGGAACACCAGUGGCGAAGGCGGAUUGCUGGACAGUAACUGACGCUGAGGCGCGAAAGCGUGGGGAGCAAACAGGAUUAGAUACCCGGGUAGUC